rnacentral:lncRNA from 1 species
AUGGUACAUUCUUUCCUUCAUCGGGAUGAUGUAUCCAGUGUGGUCAACGGCAAAUCUGGGGAGAUCCGGCGGAGAGGAGUGAUUCAUAGGAAAAGGCACUUGUGUGACACAAUGGCUAACCUUCACAAGAGGUUUUGUGGUGAAAACCCGAAUCAAAAUGUGUCUAAGGCGCAUUUCUUCAAGCUUAGACCGUUUUGGAUUGUUAGGCCAAAAGUUGCUGACAGGGAUACAUGUGCAUGCAAGCUGCAUGAAAAUUUCAGUUUCAAAAUAAAAAAGUUACAUCAGCUUGGAGUGAUAGAAUCAUCUUGCGCAGGUGAUGUCAUACAGUCAGUUGUGUGCAACACCAACAACAUUGACUGUAUGUACAAUCGUUGUGAGGUAUGCAAAGACAGAGUGAUUCCAACAGCACUUGAUGAGGAAAACAAGGGCAUCAUCAUCACCUGGCAGGAGUGGGUGACCAGGUCGGUCACGGUGGAGAGGACCGGGAAAGCUUCAACCAAGGAGAAAGAAGUAAAGAACACAGCAUGUGAAAAUCGUAGUACCUCCAUUGAGAAGUUAGUAGCUCUUACCAUGGAACAUCUCCCUAACUUUGCAGUGCAUAUCUUCAACAUCAGGCACCAGUUUUCCGCUCUCAAGACAAUGAAGGAUAGUAUCCAUGACGAUGAUGUGAUUGUACAUGUCGAUUACAGCGAAAAUUGGAGCUGCAAGUAUGCACGUGAAGUGAAGGAUACCCAUUUUGGAGGUGGGAACCAGCAGGUGACCCUCCACACUGGUGUGUUGUACAGUAAGGGAAUGGUGGAAGCCUUUGCAUCAGUGUCUCCUUGCCUCCAACAUGAUGCAACAGCAACAUGGGCCCACCUGGAACCUGUCUUGAGGUACAUCCGUCAAAAAUACCCCAAUGUAUGCAACAUACAUUUCAUUUCUGAUGGCCCAACAUCCCAAUACAGAAAUAAAACAUCGUUCUACUUGGCUUCCACUAUACCAUUCCUCCAUGGAUUUACAUAUGUCACAUGGAACUUCACAGAGGCGUCUCAUGGCAAAGGAGCUCCAGACGGCGUGGGGGCAGCCUUAAAAAAUCUGGCAGACCGAAUAGUUGCAUAUGGCCAAAGCAUCCCAGAUGCAGAUAUUCUGUUUCAGCAGCUCACCCUGAACUCCUCUGUGAUUCUAUUCCAGGUGUGUGUGAGUGUGUGUUUGUGUAACUAUGUUUUAGGUUAG